rnacentral:sRNA from 1 species
UCUUUGAAGGAAGCUGAAAGCUGAAAUUUUCGAGAUGGUGUGAAGCAGAAAAAAAAUGAGAGAGAUCGUAUUGAAGUGCGCACAAAGAAGAAAGUGAGAGAGAGUGAUAUCUUAUCUUUAGGUUUCGAUUUGAAUGAGUGGAGGAGGAUGGUCUCCUAUGCUUUCUUUGUUGGGAUAAGGGUGUUGACCAAAUAGUGAUUGAGCAUGAUGGGUAAAGGCUUUGUCCACCGAGUAAUAGAAUGAUGGGGAGACAAGUGGGCCACUCGAUCACCAAGCUUGGCUGUUUAGUUGCUUUACUCGACCAAUUGAUAGAGUAAAAUGGUGACGCAAUUUUACUCGACCAAUUGAUAGAGUAGAAUUGCUUCUAUUGCAGAUAUUUCUUGAUCACAGAGUUCACAGCUCUACAAAUCCUGAUUUAUUUCCUGAAUUCCAAAAACACUAAAAAGCAUAUCAAGAUAUCAAAAUGAAAUAUGUACAGAGAUAGGCAUGGGAUUUCCUCCCAAGUGAGCUAGUUUAAAGUCUUAAGCUAGACUUCUUACUAUUUUAGGCAUUGAUGGGUUCCUGGAGGUCAACUGUAGUUCCUUCAGGAAUAGGGCAAUCUGCCAUAUAACGCUUGACCCUCUGCCCAUUCACAGUAAAUUCAGAACCUCCCUCCUUAGUAAGACUAAUUACCCCAUAUGGCAGUACCUUGAUAUGUCUAUAAUUUGCAUGUUUUUAGUGUCCAUUCAUCAUCGUUUUGAGUCCAGUUUCGUAUCAUUCAUCACUGUUUUAUAUCAUUUCUCAUCAUUCAUCACUGUUUUAUAUCAUUUCUCAUCAUUCUUGCAUACUUUGCAUGAUUAGGAUAGCUUUGCAUACAUAUUGCAGUUCUGAGUUGUUUUCAGGUGAUUUGGAGCUGUUUGCGAGCAAAUUGGAAGAAACGAGCCAGAACCAGAAGACAUACUCGACCACCAGGUCGUGUGCAUCCAGCACCAUACUCGACCCCCUGGUCGAGUGACUUUGGAGCCAUUCUUCCCACCUACUCGACCCCCUGGUCGAGUAUCCUCAUCGCAGGCCACUCGAUGACGCCACUCGACCCCCUGGUCGAGUAUCACUUCGCCACACCACCUGACCACACUCGGCCGUUCACUCUACCAAGUUACUCGACCCCCUGGUCGGGUAUAAUCACUCACCACUAACACCAUCACUCGACCGGACACUCGAUCACAUCUUCAUAGUCUACUCAAAUCCGCACUCAACCAGACAAGCUGAGCACAAGGAAGAGAAGAGGAGAAGACGAAGUGUUUGGAAGCGGCCUGGAGCUCCAUCGGAUCACGAAGCCCAUCUCGGCCCAUUAUCACUCUAUGGGCCGGGCGAUUAGGUUAUUGGCCCGUCUACUAUCAUUUUAUUUCGUUUUGUAUAAAUAGAUGUCUUAGGGUUCUGUCCCGAGAUAUCUAGUCGACAUUGAGUUUUUGCUUUAGUUUUAUUUUUUGUUUUACUCUACUGCGCCGCUUUUGCUUCUGCAACCUGUAAUUCGAGAUUUUUCCAAGUUAUUCAGAUUCCGCAUUUUAUUUCAUCUGUCAUCUUGUUUCUCUACUCUUUAUCUCUUUACUUAUGCAAUAUUAUUAUUUAUCUGCGUUUAUCUCUUUGAGCAUGUUGUCUGAGUAGUGACUUAGAAUUCUUAGGGAUGGGAUAGAGUAGUUAUGGAAUCCGUAGUCUGUAGAAUGGUUAAGUUUUAGAAUUGAUUGAAUCCCUUUAGGACUAGUUGCGUUUACUGCUUAUUUCUUUCUAAUCAACUGGAAUUCGAUCCCAAGCAUUCUCGCACCCAGAAGGUGUUCGAUGGAAUGUUUGAUCCUUUAGUUCCUGAGAUAUUCGUCUCUAUCCCAAGGGAUUGGCCGUUUAGAGCGUUUAUUGACUUUAUCAGUCUGUUCUUAUUGCCUACAUAGUUAGAUUCCGUUAAUGGGAAUUAGUCUGGGCUAGCUUUACUUGAGGAUUUCUAUCACGGGAGUGAAUUGAUCUGUUAUUGAACCUGUUGUCUAGGGAUAGCUUGAUUGCGCUUGUUAACCAUUCGAAUAGGCUAGGAUACCACUUUAUUC